CCACUCGCCCGGAGCCUUUUACUUGGCCGCGUUGCCCACAGCUACCUCGACCUCGCGUGCCGGGUUUGCGAGCUUUCAGGCUUCUGGAGUCCACUUUGUCUCUAGAGUGGCUAGAAACCCCCGAAUCACAUUUCUAGAGUCAGCCCUAACCAGCCACUGCCAGGAAGGAUACCCAGGUCGUAUUGGAGGACGGAACGACCAGGAACUUGGCAUGGUAUGCCAGCCCGCUGUGAGUGUAUGCUUUCUGAGCAUGGAUAGCCCCAGUGACCCCUCUCACCUGCUGUAUCUCCUUUGGUGGGGUGGGCAGAAGCCCUCGUCUGGCCAUCUGUGGCAGUGUCUCUGCCGAGGCUGAUGCUCCACAGACCCCUGGAAUCUCCACAUUCACUGACGUCUUAGGUGUGUGUGGCCUGUACAGCUUGCCUUCGUCUGGCCCCAGCUGUUCUCUUUCUCCUCUCAUGGGAUACUCCCCACCCUCAAGAGCCAGCCUUGCUAGCUGUGUUUUCCUCAGGUCUUAGCUGAGCAUAAUCAUCCCCCAACACACUGAGUGGGACAGACAAGAGGCCCUCUUGUUACACCAGAGGAAGCUGACCACAUCAAAUCACAGACAAGGACCACUUUCCCAUGGGUGAUACUACCCACAGUGGGAUGGACCCUCCAAUUCUCAGUCAAGAAAGUGCCCGGCAGCACAGUAUCCAACAGACAGCAAAGCCAGGGCUGCCUCCAGACCUGCUGUCCCUUUCACCAUCCUUCCUAGGACCAGAGGGGAUGCCGCCUGCUCAGGAUGGACUCUAUUGAAAUGUAAAAUACACACUUUGCAUAUCAAAAGCAUCAUUGUGUUUAGCUAUGCAUCUCCAGUUUCUUCUUGCAAAACAUUGAAACCUAGCUCAUAAUUUGAUGAUAAAAUAUUGAUUAUUUAUUGACAGCCACAUGCAGAGGUCCAUGGCACAUGAACGGGAGGCCCACCCUGCAUUAUCUGUAUUUUAAGUCAAUAUGAAGAUGGAUAUUCUACCCCUGAGAUGAAUUUUGUUAAAGUGCUUUUGUCAAUAAAAAGACACUCCUGUUAGAGUGUGCCAACUCCUGCUAUUGGCCUGGGGUCUGCUUCUCCACACACCAGGCGGCUCCAAGAGAGGCUUCCAACCUCCAGCAGCUCCUGGUCAGUCUGCAUAUUUCUUUAAGCCAUGUGAGUGAAAAAUAUCAAGGAAUGGUGAGUUGGCAUUCCAGGUGAGAGAGAAUGAAAAGAAAAGCGAACACAACUUAUAAACAAAUCUGGGAGAGCUUCAUCACCAUCCAUAGCAACUGCGUGUCUUCUGCUUCCAAGAUAGAAGAGCGGAAGUGUGGACCAUCUCUGAGCGUCUGCCCUGACUGCCUACCCAGCAGGUAUUGCCACCUGAAUCUUAGACGUAACCUCUUUCAAAUCUUUUUUCUUUUUUACUUCUAAAUUGUUUAUUGGGUAUGAAUUUUAUAAGCAUUACCUGUAUUUGCAGUAAUGGUAGAGCUGAAGAGUAUUCUAUGUCCCCAGGCUGCACGGUGAGAGCCACCAAUAGUGUGGUAAAACUGGUGUGACCCUUUUCAAGGUCACAGAUGUCAGCUCAGGCAUGCCUGUGUGUGUGUGUGGACUGGUUUGGUGAUCCAGUGGGUGUCGGGAUUUUUUUCUGCUAGCCUUACAGAAAGGAUUGCUUCCUUCCCAUCAGAAAGGGAGACACAGAGGCUCAGAGAUCUUAGCAUCAUUCACUCCUUAUAAUGCCCAAUGUUUGAAUGCCGGAUAAAUUUACCUAUCUGCUUCAUUGAUUCAUCCCACAAAGUGAGCUGUGACAGUGCAGUAGGACUCCGGGAUUUACCAGUGAACCAAACAGGCAUUCAAGUGGGCUCUCAAGAAAUAGCUGUAAUUAUUAAGGGCUGGCUAGACUGGGUUAGUCAGCCACUGCACUAGAAGGGAGGAAGCAAUAUAAGACUGAAAGUUCCAGUUUUAAACAGAGAGCUUAAAUCUGAACCAAACUGUGAGAGGGUUAGAGGAGUCAGAGGAACAGCUGUAGAGGAGAGGGAAGGAAUUUCCAGGCACUUACGGGGGCAAGCACUCGGGCAGGGAUGUGCCUGACUUAUUUGAAGAAAAAUGAGUGUCUGGGAUGAAGUGAGUUGAAUGUUCAUGGUUAAAUUAGAAGAAUGAGACUAAGCUUCCUGCAGUCCAUUUACCCCGCCUGCACCUCACAGAGUCUCUAGGAAGAGUAUACCAAGAAAGGACAGCAGCCUGGACGCAGCUGGCAGGGAGCAACAAGCCCGGGAGUUUUCAGGUAAAGAAGCCACUUGUAACUAGCAGUGUCCUGAUUGGACUCAGACAUACAAACUUGAGGCCUGGGAAACUUGUGGUGGGGUUAGAAAGACACCCCCUCCCAUUGGCUAAUUCUGGGGCCCUGGGAAACCCUAGCCUUGGGGCAAAGUCUGGAGUCUGUCUAUACAGGGAACCUACAGCAGUGGCAGGUGAGAAGAAAAUUUCAAAUUUGCAAUUUUCAAGUGUCAGAAUGAUAUUGUUCCACUCAUCUGAUGCCUGGCCUGAGAAACAGGUCCUCCUGGUUUCCAUCAACACGUCUGCUGGGUGAGGGUGGCCUUUGCUCUCUCAACCAUCCAGACCCUGACUAAGAAUGCCCGCUCCAACACCGGCUACCAGAGUACCCCACCCCAUGCACCCAAGGACAAGACCUAAGGUCUGCACAGUACUUCUAGAAGAUUCUAUUCUAAUCAGAGGCUCUCCUAACACCUCAGUUCAAGGUAUUGGAGAGACAGAAACCCACAGGUUAUCCUCUGAAAGGCAAACACAGGGCCCAGACUCCCCACCCAGGAAAGAUCAAUAUUCACCUGUGAGCAUUAUGUGUGGCCCAUGACAUAAGACCCUUUAUGCAACAGUUUGAAAGCAAGAACAGCCAAGAUGAGCAGAAAGAGAGAUAUUGGUCCUGGCAUGAGCAUCUAAGACCUUAAAGCCCGUCCCCAGUAACACAGUUCUUCCAACAAAGCUAUACCUCGUAGUGUCAGCCAGCAUUGAAGUGUCAGUUAUGUGGGUGAACCAUGAUGAAGGGGAUCCUCCCAGCCCACUCAUCCUCUGAAUGAUAGCAGCCCAGGUACACCUGCGCCUGCAGGCUCUCCAGGCAGAGCCACCCGCUGCUGCUGCCCUGAACUUAUACCCAGCAAAAGAUAGGGUGUCCAUUAUGCAGUCUCCCCUGACACUGGUGUCAGCGGAACUGUUAGACAGCAGUAGACAAUUAUUCCAAGCAGGUCUCAUCUUGAUGUGGUCACUUCUCAGACAACACACGUGAGGUCUUCCCCCCACCACCACACCACGUAUGGACUUCUCUGCAAAGCCCCCACAGAAGCCACUUGCUCUGUAUGAAACCUUGUCUUCAAAUAUGUGUAUAGAGUUCCAAGUCCUCAGAAGUUCAGACAGAAGAACUGCUGUGAGUUCUAGGCCAGCCUAAGCUACAUAGUGAACUUCACAUCAGCCUGGGCUACAGAGUAAAAUCUGUCUCCAAAAACAAAACAAAUGCUAUCUACAGCUGUCUCUUCCCUGGACUCUUAGGAGUGUUGCCCCCUCUAGGAAGCUCACUAGAUCCAGUCAGGGAUCCUUCCUCCACAUGCCUACAACCGUACUCUCUUGUUGUCCCUUCUUGGAAGACUUGCCACAUAGCCUCAGAGGGCCAGAGCCAAACAUGUUUUUUCUCCUAAGUGUUAGCUACUAGGAGGCUUGGUUCCACUACAGAUGACUCGCAGAGCUUUGUGAUCAGAAGACUUCAACACUAACCUAAGUUUUUACUCUCUGUAGGAUUAGUCAGUGAUAGCCUGGCCCCAUUUUAUCUCCCUGAUCUUAAUGUUUUUUUGCCCUGACUACCUCAUCUGUUUCAUCACUUUAUGUGUGUGGCCUUCUGCAAAUUGCAACAAAUCCUUGGUGACAUGAGGCAGCAUUAGCUCAUCUUCCCUGGUCUGAGAUGUGGGCAGAGAUUCUGAGUGGAGGAAGCAGACCCACUUCUGAGUGGGCGGCACACUCUUGACAUUCCUUUGACUUCUUAUCUCCUGCCUCACCUCCCCAAGGUGACAACAUUCUGUCUGGCAGGUGGGAUGUGAGGAGGGAACGCCCUCAGGAAGUGUAGGCCUCACCACACCUCACCAGCACAGUCAUCUAUAGCUGUUGAACUGUCACACAUGGUCACCAUCCAGAUCCAAGGCUUUUCCUUAAGGAGCCCAGCAACCUAUGAAAGGAGUUUGCCUUCCCUGGAGCAAUGCUAGAUGCCCGGUUCAAGGCUCAACCACACCAAGGGCACAGACUCAACUGUCACUAACCCCACAGCAGGGAAGAAGCACACUGGCUUAGGAUCCCAGGCAAGAUAACGCCACCAACUACAGUGAUCUGGUGCAGAAGAGGAUUUUUUUCUUUCUGCUGGGAGGUUACAUUGUAGCAGCCAUCAUGGUAAGAAGUCAGUGUCUUUAAGAUGAGCCGGCUAAGGGCCUACCUCUAGCUCUCUGACCAGCAAACACUCUUUGAUUUCAGUUAGCUUCUCAUGUCAUGGGCAGCAGGGGAGAGCAUGUGAACAGAAAGGAUGCCAAUGGGCUGUUUUCUGUGGUACCCUUUUUCUUUUUUAUUAGAAAGCCAAGCUUCCGGUCUCAUGUGCAUGUGCAUAUACACACAAACACAGGCACACACACUCACAAGGACUCCGAAUGCUCCAGGUCCCCAUCCAUGGUGAAUAGAAUGUAGAUUGUGAGUCCCAUCUCAUAGGUAUGGAUUGAGCCAAUCCCUAGGCAAAGCCUCCAUGGUUUCAUUCCACCCCUUUGGCACAUGGAAGCCCUAAAGCUGAGUCAGGGUGGGUAAGCACCCAAGAUCCACCCAAAGAAAUGACUCCUGUGCUGGGUAGCACACAUCUUGGAAGGCUAAAGGGCAAUUGUAAGCUUGAGACCACCCUAUGCAACAGCAAACCUCUCCAAAAAACCAAAAAGCAAAAACAACUUCUGUCCCAGGGUUUACAGGAAUAACAUCAGAGUCUGUAAAUUUUUGGUAAAAAUUUAAAAAAUAAGUAAAUAAAAACCCUCAGGGAACCCACACCUUAGCCAGCAAUGGAGCCACACAGACUUCCCCAUUAGACUGGGAAGCUUAAUAUCUAAUACUGUCUUUAUUGUCCAAUCACUUUCUAGCUAUUUUAUUAAUCACACUGGAGAGUCCAAAUUUGUUACUCCUUAAUAAAUACAGUGUGUCUAGUUAACAAAAUGUUUACAAAGACAAGGACCAGUGGGUGGUAAUAAGGCUAAACUUUAUCCUACAGAGCUGAGAACCACCAGGCCACCACCCUCUGGGAGGGAGAAACGGGACAAAGUCACACUUUCUCAAGCCUCAAAUUGCUCUGAAACUUUUAGAAUGUUCUGUAGUUUACGGUUGCCUGUUGUAUCUUGAAUUAUAAAAGACAGUCUCUUUUAGAGUCUAUUUUUUUCUUAAUUCAAUCAAACCACUGUGAAUGAAGAGUCUGGCCCUUAAAGUCAGUAUGACACCUGAGUAUGACGUCAGCUUUUUCAUCUGCUAAGUGGGAGGAAGAGAGGGGGAGGCUUACACAACUGCCCGGUCACAUCAGCAUUUUCUCCUUACUCGAUUGUCUCAAAAGUCUAGUGAGAGAGGUAUUUUUCUCCUUUUAUGACAAAAUUAUUGUUUGGAGAGAGUAAAAGAUUCACCAAAAACAACUGACGUAAAACCAAUCCGACAGCUGGGUUCAGAACCAUGGACAGAGGCAGGGGUCUGGCGUCUUCUAGGUGAGCCAGAGAAGUAAAGAGCGUGGGAGUGGGUGCUGUCUCUCUGGGGAGAAAGGGGGCUGGAGUGAGGUCGACACAUUGCCAUAACUUAUUCUGCCUGCAUCACGCUGGGCUCUUCAGAAUUUCUUCUGUCCUCCCAUCCAGAGGAUAUGCAAUGCCAUUCCCAAACAGCCACCCAGCAUGUGUGUAAGAGUAGACGAAAGGAACAGUUAUCUAAAGCCCAUCGAAACCCACUCUUGGAAGCACCAGUAAUAGGCAAAACCCUGGAGCUCCAUGCCUAGCAGAUGGGUGGCUGUUUCUCAUGUGUAGCCUCCAGCAGGACUCCUUGCUUCUAAAAAUGGUGAUGCUUCCUUUCUCCUUGUGGCUGGCCACCUUCUGACUUGGCUUCUAUAGUUGCUGUGUUUAUCACAUCGAAAUAAAGGAGGAAACUCAGGAGCAAAUGCUCAGAUAGUUAAUCAAGCUAAGUUUGGAGAGGCACGUGUCACCUUUACUCAGACCAGAACUCAGCCCUCAGCAUAUAUAGACAUAUAGAGAAGAUAGUUAGGCAUAUAGAUAGACAGGCAGAUGAUAAAUGGGUGAGCAGGUGGGUACAUAGAUAAUAGGUAGGUAGAUGAUGGAUGGAUACGUGGGUGGGUGAAUGGACAGACAGACAGAUGGAUAUAUAUCAAAGCCUGUCUUCACAGUGCUGGGAUUUCUUGUUUAGCCAUUGGGCCAAGGCCUGCAGAUUUUUAAAAAUUAUUUUUUAUGUAUAUCUGUGCACCCGUGUGCAUCUCUGGUGCCUCCAGAGGUCAGAAGAGGGUGUCAUGUCACCUGGAAUUUCAUUUACAGAUGUUUAUGAGCCUCCUGUGGCUAUUGAGCAUCUUACCCAGGUACUCUGGAAGAGAAAUGCUCUUGACAGUGUCUCUGUCUAGCCCCUCUCAGGAAUAUUUUGAUAUGGAAAUUAUAGUUCCUUCCAUUGCAAGAAACAGAAAGGGCUCACCAGUCUUAAAUAAGAUAGUAAGUCACUGGCUCAUGUGUGUAAGACUGGAUCACAGCAUGACUCAGACUUCAACAUCUUCCCAGGGAUACCUGGACUGUCUCUCAUUCGUGUCCUCCAUGACUGCUCUCAGACAAGCUCCUCCACCACUCAAUAUGGCUGACAACUGCUCCUGGCAUAUGUUUUUAUCAGUGAUCCUAAGAGAUUUUUUUCCCCUCCAUAAAAAUUCCAUGGUAUAUCCUGUUGGUACUAAGUGUCCUAAUUAGGUCCCAUAUUCCAUGUGAUCAAAAAGAUGGUGCCCUUGUCCAGACCUAGGCCAUGGCAGCCCUGGAUAUGGGAGAGGCCUGUUCUGUAUAAUGCAGACAAGCUAAAACAGAUACAGGCAGCUCCCCUGGAAGCCACCAUUACUGCUGUCUCCCAAUGGGGAAGACUGGUGCCAGGCAAGCCUGGACUGACACCAUCACAUCAGCCUUCCUCACGAUGGCUGUGGGCGGGCUGCAGUCAUGUGAGG
ensembl:lncRNA